rnacentral:rRNA from 1 species
CGUGCCAGGAGUUCGCGGUAAUACGAAGGGGGCUAGCGUUGNUCGGAAUUACUGGGCGUAAAGGGCGCGUAGGCGGUACUUCAAGUCAGGCGUGAAAGCCCCGGGCUCAACCUGGGAACCGCGCUUGAGACUGGAGAACUCGAGUUCGGGAGAGGAUGGUGGAAUUCCCAGUGUAGAGGUGAAAUUCGUAGAUAUUGGGAAGAACACCGAUGGCGAAGGCAGCCAUCUGGACCGACACUGACGCUGAGGCGCGAAAGCGUGGGGAGCAAACAGGAUUAGAUACCCUGGUAGUCCACGCCGUAAACGAUGAGUGCUAGACGUUGGGGCCCUUAGGGCUUCGGUGUCGCAGCUAACGCAUUAAGCACUCCGCCUGGGGAGUACGGCCGCAAGGUUAAAACUCAAAGGAA